CCUACGGGUGGCAGCAGUGGGGAAUCUUCCGCAAUGGGCGCAAGCCUGACGGAGCAACGCCGCGUGAAUGAAGAAGGUCUUCGGAUCGUAAAGUUCUGUUCUUAGGGACGAAGUCUUAGGUUGUGAAUAAUGACUUAAGGUGACGGUACCUAUGGAGAAAGCUCCGGCUAACUACGUGCCAGCAGCCGCGGUAAUACGUAGGUGGCAAGCGUUGUCCGGAUUUAUUGGGCGUAAAGCGAGUGCAGGCGGUUCAAUAAGUCUGAUGUGAAAGCCUUCGGCUCAACCGGAGAAUUGCAUCAGAAACUGUUGAACUUGAGUGCAGAAGAGGAGAGUGGAACUCCAUGUGUAGCGGUGGAAUGCGUAGAUAUAUGGAAGAACACCAGUGGCGAAGGCGGCUCUCUGGUCUGCAACUGACGCUGAGGCUCGAAAGCAUGGGUAGCGAACAGGAUUAGAUACCCUUGUAGUC
rnacentral:rRNA from 1 species